UACAGAGGGUGCAAGCGUUGUUCGGAAUUAUUGGGCGUAAAGGGAGUGUAGGCGGUUCGUUAAGUCUUCUGUGAAAUCUACGGGCUUAGCCUGUAACGUGCAGAGGAAACUAGCGGGCUUGAGUGUCGGAGAGGAUAGGGGAAUACCCAGUGUAGAGGUGAAAUUCGUAGAGAUUGGGUGGAACACCAGUGGCGAAGGCGCCUAUCUGGCUGACAACUGACGCUGAGACUCGAAAGCAUGGGGAGCAAACAGG
rnacentral:rRNA from 2 species